CUCGUGUAACGGCGUUCUCACGCUCUCCCGUUGCCUGCUCGCCGUCGGCACACCAUCACCGACCAUCAGGCAUCACUCAUCGCCAUCACCAUCAUCAUCACGCGCAGCGGUGAUCACCGACACGCCCUUGAUCUUCUUCCUCGACUGCUUUCUCAUCUCCCAUCGCUCGCUUUAGAUUUCGCACGAACAUACAUGUGCGCCCGCGUGUUUGCUUCAUAGACGUGCCCAACUAAAACCACACACAGCCCAUCCCACCCUCAUCAUCCUGCUCACCCCCCUAUCCCUCAUUCACCCCCAUCAUCAUCCUGCUCAUCUCGUCGCUGUGCGCCUUCCCUUUCUUCUUUCGUAGUUUCUCUUGCUCUUGCUGCUUCGUUGCUUCACCAAGGGCUGCAGUCGGGAGGAAGGGAAGGAGGCCUUCACGCGCGUGUGCGUGGGUUACAAGGUGUGUGUGUGUGUGUGUGUUCGCCCCCGUGCGUCGCAGAGGCAUCACUGCGUCUUGCUCACGCUCUACUCCGUGACCUCCCCCCUGCACUGUGCACCAGAGACGCACGCCCAUGGCCUCCGUUAGCUUCUCGAAUACCCCGCAAGUCUCGCGCGGUGGCGGCGCCCCGGCAAUGAUCCCGUCCGGUGCACGCGGUGGAUCCAAUCGCGGCAGUGUCAUGGCGCUGCCGCCAGGCGCACAUCUCGUGAAGGGCCCUUACCCGUCCGGUGGGGGUCGCGGGGCCGCCAGGUUGAUGGGACCGCCGGCAGCCGCAGUACCUCCCGGCUUUCGAGGGAAGGGGCCGCCUGCUCAGAUGCUCACGAUGGCCGGCAACCAGAAAAUGCUGGUGCCGCCACCGUCGUCGUUGUUAGCCGCUGGGGGUGGUCACUCCUUCGCGACGAGCCCGCCACUAAGCCGCUCCACCUCACCAGGGACGAUGACAGCGCCGCCUGGUUCGCCAGGACGCGGCCCCAUCGGCCCACUUCACUCAUUCCCGCAGUUCGCCUUUGUAAACGGGAAGAAGAUCAUGAUGCCGCCAGGCAUGAAGCUGCUGAUGGGAAGCCCCGGCCCCAGUCAAGCCCCCGGCGCUACCGCCGCCGCAGCGCCGCCACAGGCCGUGGUGCAUAGCAAGAUGAUGAUGCCACCAGGGCAGGGUUGGGAGACAAGCCGGCGGCCGUCACCCACAACAUCACCGCCACCGGGGGCGAUGGGUCGAGGUGCUGCUGCUGCUGCUGCCACUGGCGGUGGAGGCAGCCCUUCGCCGCUUCGCGUGAGCCUCGGGCAAAGUCCUGUGCGGUCACCGAUGCAGGCGACCGCCUUGCCGUCGCCGUCACCACCGCAGCCACAGCCAACAAGAGUGGCAACGGCUGGUGCCACAGGCAAGAGUCACAAGUUCAACCUGGUGCGGAGCCUCACCAACGCUCUCAGCUCGCUGAAGUCCGGCAGUGCCUCGGACAGGGAACGAGAGAACGAGCGACUGCGGCGCGAAGCUGCAGCGCUGCAGCAACGGCCGCAACGAGUGCAGACGCCGCCUGAGCUGGACGUUCGUGAGAAAGGCGUCGGUGGCGGCCCUACCGGUCCCCAUAGCAGCAGCACCUGGCUGCCGCGUAGUCGCUCCCUGCCUCACCCUGCUAGUCGAUCCCCACCCCAGAAGCAGCAGCCGAUGCCCCCUCCGCAGUUGAUGGUCAACGCGAAGAUGAUGGUGGGGCAGCCGCCAGCCUCGCUGCGUGGCAAGUCGCCGACACCCGUGAGCCUGUCAAAGGCCGGCAAUGCGAGCGGCGGUGGUGGUGCCGCAGCAGCAGCACCAGCCCCAGCAAGCUCGCCGAUGAGGAUGCCACCUGUUCAGUUCAUGGCGAUAAAGGGCCGCCCUGGCGGCGGUGGUGUCGUGGUAGGGGCAAAGAGUGCAAUCAUGGGUCCUCCGCCUCCUGGCGCGGGCCGAAGCAUGGCGGCUGCCUCUCCCCCAGCAGUGCGGUUGGUGCCAUCGCCCCAGCAGCAGCUGCAGCACCCGUCUCCGGCGGGGCCGCGGCUGAUGAAGCGCAUCGUAGGGCCACCACCGCCGCACGAGCGGCUCAUCCCGACUCCCUCACCGCAGCAGCCACAGCAGCAGUCGUACUCCGGCUCGACGUCACCGCCGACUGCGUCACUGCCCUCACCGUCAUUGUCCGUGGCACCGCCACCAGCGGCUGCUGCAGCCGCGAACGCACUCCGUGUGCCGAGUUCGACCGUGCUCAAGGAAGAUCAGUUGCCCGAAGCUGGCGUGCGGUCACCUGGGCACCGACUCCGGCCACUAGGAGAAAGCUCGGAGGACAGCGACAGCAACAGUGGAGAUGGUGGUGGUGGUGCGCACGCCGGCGCGCAGGUAGCAGCAGCCUCGCACAGCCCCGAACCUGGUCGCCUUCGCGACGCAUCCUUGGUCAAGGACACAGACAGCGCGGUGGGAUCGGGCACAGCGCAGAAAAGCGCCGCAGAAGAGGAAGACGCGGCGCUGCACAAAGACAAGAUGCAGCCGCCAAGGCCGUCGUCCUCCUCGCCACCGCGCCACGCGGCAGCCCGUGAAACGAGGGACCACAGCCACCACCGCGGCGACGGCGACGGCGACUGCAACGACGGUACGUACCACUCCACCGGCGCCAUGACAUCCAAGUCAGUUUCUGCUAGUGCUGGCGCUGGUGCAGCCGCCACAUCGCAAUCAUCAUCGUCUGCGCACCGUGACAGCAAUAACAAGGCAUCUGCCUCCUCGAUUCUCCGGCCGGUGCGGCAAACUGCAACAACAGCGGCACGCAGCGCUGCCGCAGCCGCUAAGCGACGACAAGAGGAGGAAGAGCGCCGGCGCCACGAGGCAGCUGGCAAGGACGCGUUGGCGUCGAAGAAGCUGCGGAGCUCGCGAUCGAAGUCGGCUCCGCGCGCCGAGCACGCGAGUCCACCGCAGCCCGCUGCGGCCGCCGGUGCGGCACGAGAACCGCUGUCGCCGCAGGAAGAGGACAACACGCAGAAGCCAUCUAGCAUGGAACGCAGCAUCCACAGCAUCGCGUCCACCGCAUCAUGCCGAGCCCCGCUGUCCCCGUCUGACUCUUCCACGUCCACGCUGGGAGACAAGAAGAGCCCCCGCACAUCGGCACGCGGCCGCGGCAGAGCUGGUGGUGGUGGCGGCUUUGCUGCGCCGCCGGGGUCCGCCUCAACGCGGUCGGGAAAGCGGCCCGGCAAGGCCGCUCACUUCGACCCCUCAGACACACAGAAGAACGGGCAGUGGCAGCGGCAGCCCCGCAGCAUACGGUCGAAACCCCGCAGCCGUAGCACGAACGCCCGACGCAGCACCAGCAGGGGGCGCAGCGGCAACGACGACGGCGACAGCAGCGAUGCCGAUGACGAGGAGGAUGCCGAAAGCGGCUCGGAGAAGCUGACGAGUCGAGACCUCUACCGCCUCGCAAAGUUGCUGCGUGACGGCAACGCGGACCUUGUGGGAGCAGGCAUGGGCAGCCGGCAGCGCAGCGGCCGUCGCCGGCGGUCGAGCCAUCGUGACGACAACCGCAGCGGCAGGGGCUCUGGCGCGGACAGCAGCGAUGACGGUUCGUGGGGACGGCAGCGCCGGCAGCACAGUACGGCGAAGCGUCGAAGCGCGCUUCCCCUCACCACAGUCGGCAUUCCAUGGCGCUAUGCUGGCACACGGCGCUCGUGGGAGCCGUUCGCGUCACCACCGCGGGUGCGGCGGCCGCUCGGGUAUAUCAACGUCGGCGGCGGUCGCUACGCUCGUGUCGGCGGCAGUCCGUAUACCCGUUCCCAGAGUCGGUCUCGCGCCACCUCGGUCGGGACCGUGCCGCUGGACACGACCAAUACGCGAGCAUUGGUCAGCGAUGCUGCGGCCUAUGGCAGUUACUCACCCCUCUCCGGCGAGCGGAAUCGCUGGACGUCGGCGCUGCUGGAUGCUUUCCGCAACGCCGCCGUGGCAGAGGCGCAGAGAAGCGUUCUGCCGGACAGCCAGCCAGCGUCCAGCGCGCGCAGUGGUGGUACGGAUGGUGGUGCGGCGGCGCUCUACUACGGUAGCCAGCAGCGACAGCGAUUCGGCGCUCGCGGCUCCCCGCCCCAUCCCCACACCCGUGACGGCUGCAGUGCUCCCGGUGGCGGCUUGGAUGAAACGAUGUCGUCAGCCGCCGAGUCGCAGCACCCCUACUGCCUGUCCACCUCAGCACUGCAGUCCGCCAUGCCGUCCACAGCCCCUCUGGGCCGCGGCACGGCGCCCGCGUAUGAGCAGAACGAGCAGGAGCGGGGGCGGUCCUCGCCCCUGUCAGGCUCCCUACGCUGGGCAGCUGCCCAACCCUACAGCCUCCCUUCACAGCCACCGCCACCAACAUCGGCAGCAGCGAUGACGGAGUCCGUGGGUCUUCUGUUUCUCGGCAAGGAUAAGGUCGAUCCGGCGGUAGAGCCCAACACACACGGCACUGUAGCAGCGGCGGUCAAGGACGCGGCGGCGCCGGUGCGAGUUGCUUCAUGGCGCCGGAGCAGCUUCUCUGAUCAGCCGCACGGCCUCCUGCCCGCCACGUCGUCAUCCGUUGACGCAACAAGGGCCGCCGCGGCAGCAACGAGGUCUAGGAGCGUCACCAGUAACAGGAGGAGUAGCAUCAGCGGCGCUGACACGGCAAGCGUCAGCGCGGCGGCGCCGGCGCCGUCGUGGGAGCGGGCGUGGUCACGGGGCCUUGGCAACCACCUGCGCGCCCACUCACCGUCGACCCAGAAGCGAUGGCAGCAGGAGCAGAGGCGUGCUCAGCGCAGCGAGAGCUGCAACGCGGCGAACAACUUGAGAACAUGUAAUAGCGCCGCUGCCGCUGCUGCCACGGCGUAUGCUGGCAGACACACCUCGGACGCGAAUCCCAACGCCUGCGGUUCGCCCGCGCGCAAGGAAGAGCCGGCCUACCUCAGCAAGGCCACGGUUGCACGCCUGAGCACCCUGCGACAGCGCCGAGGCAGCCUCGGCGCGAGUGCUGCCACGGCGAUAAGCCCCAUCUCUCGCCGCAGUCACGGCGGUGUUGACGGAAUCAGCAGCGUGACAGCGCAGACGUGCAGCAAGUGGCUUGACGAAAUCAUUGACUCCACGACGGUGACGGCCACUGGCGUACGCGCUGGCGGAGGGGCUGGAGGUGGCGGAGAGCACGCGGCGGCGGCGGCGAAUGCGAUUCCUGUGGUCGAUCUGCGUCGCGAGUUCAAGCCGCGCAUCGCGGACGGUGGCACUGACGGCCGCGGCGGUCCGAGCAGCGUGCGCGCCGCAUCCCCGUCCCUGCACGAUGGCGGGACGACGGACUACACGCAGGAAUUCACCGGGUCGCGCGCGCGCCCGCACGUUCCGGGAAUCUCCUUCAAAUACAUGGUCGGUGCGCGCUCGGCCACCGGCUCACCACCGCGCACGGGCGGCAAGGCCUCCGCUACAGGCGGCGGCGCGGUCAACGUGAAGACGGUGAACGGUAUCUCGGACGGACUGCCGUUUUCGGCCUACUCCUCCAUACGCAUUCACGACCCGGCACGCAAGUCGCCGUGGGCACUGGCGCCGGAGCGCGAGGGGCUGAAGGUGCUGCCUGGGCAGCCCGCUUUGUCGCGGCGUCGGCGCAUCCCCGCCGACGGCACUGCAGCCGCGGAAAACGGCGCCGCCGAUUCUGGGCUUGGCGUGCGUGACGCCGACGACGCGCGGCACCGCGCACGCGGCGCCACCCGCACCGUUGUCGAGGAGGUGCACCUAGACGAGCACCGCCGCCCCUACUUGAUUCUACGGCCGGUGCCGAGUAGCGAGGAGGGUGAGGCGCAGCGUGCGGCGGUGGAGCGGCUCUCACGCCCAAAGCCCAUCUACCGCCGCGCCAACGAUCAUGUUUGACCUCGUCUUGCUGAUGCCGCUGUCGAAGAAGAGCGACACGAGUAGGGAAGCAGAUGAUGCGCGCGCGCCCUCCCACUCCCCUGGUACACCCGCAACGGCCAUCAUCGGCAUCCGUCCAUCCCCGUCCGUGUCAUGCCCCUCCCCCUUUCACUUGCUCGCCCUUCCUACGUUCUGUGUGUAUCUGCUUCUGAGGCCCGUGUGCGCGCAUGCGUGUGGGUACGCCUCCCACGCAUCCGCUCCCCUCACCACCACCGACCGACCGACCCUGAUCCGUGCCCGUGCUUGCGUGUUUGUAUGUAUGCGUUGAUCAGCGAUGGCGGCGCGCGUGGUUCGUGGAACUUAGAUGCUAUGCCGUAAAGAACGGGAUGAGGUGUGCCAGUGUCUGUGUCUGUGUGUUGGCGGUCAGCGGUGCUGAUGCGCGGGUAGGCUGCAAAGGGGUUGGGAGUGGGGACGUGGUGGCGUGGCAUGAUGUUCGGUAGCCCCACAGAUUGGGAAAAAGGCGAGGGGGUAGACGACGGGUGCGAGAAGAGCGAGAAGGAGAGGUACGGACCCCCAUCGCUACCACCACCACCACCACGGUCACUUUCGGCCUCAUCGCGCCGCAUCCCUGGCCGAGGGCACGCACACCGCGACCCCCCCCCUCCGUGCAGCUACAGGGACAUGUACUUCAAUGUCUCCUGCCUCGCCACCGAGCAAUACCGUUGCUGCUGCGACUCCGAGACGAACAAAGGGGGCGGGGGCGGAGGCGCGUGCUGUAGUGGCGCACACACGCACCUGGUACGCUCCUCUCUGUCCCGCACUCCCUUCUCGCCUUUUCCCUCUCCCGGGUCACGGCGUCGUUGCGGCUGAAGCGAGAGGCAGUGAGACACACACGCACACGCACACACACACACAAAACCGAAAUUCGAAGGUAGCAAGAGGGAAGGGGGGAGGGGGGCGAGAUGGCGAUGGGUGGGCAUUGGCCGAUGCUCUCUGCUCUCCCUACUCGCCGACUGCCGAGCGCACGCGCAGGCGCACGCCCACACGCUGAGGUGAUGCGUGGCCGCCCUGCCCUUUUCGCUCCGCUUUGGCUUUUCUGAGGUUUCGCUCUGCGGCACGAAGUAAUGCUGCGGUCGAUGUGGCCCCGUCGUCUCUCUCUGCAUCCCCUCGGCGUGCUGACGCAUGCUGUGUCGACGAUGAUGAGGGUCUGGCGCGUGAGGGUCAUGCAGGCUGUACCUCACACACGGUGGGCAUCAUCAUCAGCAAAGCCGUCCUCAUCGCUCUGUGUCUCUCAUGCCCUUCACUCUCGCGCCGCCCCUCCCCUCCCCGCUUGCUUUCUCUUUUUCGCCGUCCCUGUCGUGCCACACGCGCACGCAAACAUAAACUCCCACAUGGGGGACGUCCAUACAUGCAUCGACGGAUAG
rnacentral:misc_RNA from 1 species